rnacentral:lncRNA from 1 species
AGUCCUUGGGUCUGAGAGAAGGUGCUGAGCGAGGCUGGUCAGCCCUGUAGAAGUCUCCAUCGUAACCAAAGUCAUAACCACCACCGCUUACACCUGGAGGUCCAACUGUACCAGGAUGUCCAGUGCGACCAUCUUUUCCAGCAGGGCCAGAAGGACCAGCAGGGCCCUAAGGAAGACAGACACCAGGUACAUGUGAGCUGGUGAAUCCCACCAAGGGAGCAGCAGCCUGGGGCUCACUGCUCGCUUUAGCCUCUAUUUCAGAGAUGAACUGUCUUCUC